rnacentral:rRNA from 1 species
UGGUCAAGUUAUUAAGGGUGCAGGGCGGAUGCCUUGGCACUAGGAGCCGAUGAAGGACGUGAUAAGCUGCGAUAAGCUUCGGGGAGUUGCACGUAAACUUUGAUCCGAAGAUUUCCGAAUGAGGAAACUCACUUAGAGUAAUGUCUAAGUAUCAUUAAGUGAAUACAUAGCUUAAUGAGGGGAACUCAGGGAACUGAAACAUCUAAGUACCUGAAGGAAGAGAAAGAAAUUCGAUUCCGUAAGUAGCGGCGAGCGAACGCGGAUUAGCCCAAACCAAUAAAGUUUUCUUUAUUGGGGUUGCGGACAUAUCAUAACGAAGAGGUAUCGUAAUUGAAGAGGUUUGGAAAGACCCACCACAGAAGGUAAUAGUCCUGUAUGUUAAACGAGAAGACUUUAGAUAUGAUCCAGAGUACCACGGGACACGUGAAACCCUGUGGGAAGCAGGAGGGACCACCCUCCAAGGCUAAAUACUACCUAGUGACCGAUAGCGUAUAGUACCGUGAGGGAAAGGUGAAAAGAACCCCGGGAGGGGAGUGAAAUAGAACCUGAAACCCUGCACUUACAAGCUGUGGAAGCACAUUUCUUGUGUGACCGCGUACUUUUUUGUAGAACGGGCCAACGAGUUACGUUAAGUAGCAAGGUUAAGCACUUAAGGUGCGGAGCCGUAGCGAAAGCGAGUUUUAACUGAGCGUUCAGUUACUUGACGUAGACCCGAAACCGGGCGACCUACCCAUGAGCAGGAUGAAGCGAAAGUAAAAUUUCGUGGAGGUCCGAACCCACGAGCGUUGAAAAGCUCGGGGAUGACUUGUGGGUAGCGGUGAAAUUCCAAUCGAGCCCGGAGAUAGCUGGUUCUCCCCGAAAUAGCUUUAGGGCUAGCCUCAAGGUGAGAGAUACGGAGGUAGAGCACUGAAUGUCCUAGGGGGUAUUGCACCUACCGAAGACUAUCAAACUCCGAAUGCCGUCAUCUUAUACUUGGGAGUCAGACUGUGGGUGAUAAGAUUCAUAGUCGAAAGGGCAACAGCCCAGAUCGUCAGCUAAGGUCCCUAAAUGUAAGUUAAGUGGUAAAGGAUGUGGGAUUGCACAGACAACCAGGAUGUUGGCUUAGAAGCAGCCACUCAUUCAAAGAGUGCGUAAUAGCUCACUGGUCGAGUGAUCCUGCGCCGAAGAUUUCCGGGGCUAAAACUUACUACCGAAGCUACGGCAUCAGUAAUGAUGGUGGGGAGCUUCCCAUACGGGUUGAAGCAUGACCGUAAGGACAUGUGGACAGUAUGGGAGUGAGAAUGUUGGCAUGAGUAGCGAGAUGUGGGUGAGAAUCCCACAGGCCGUAAACCCAAGGUUUCCAGGGGGAAGGUUCGUCCGCCCUGGGUUAGUCGGGACCUAAGCUGAGGCCGAAAGGCGUAGGUGAUGGACAACAGGUUGAUAUUCCUGUACUACCGAUAACCGUUUGAGAGAAGGGAUGACACAGUAGGAUAAGCUAAGCACACUGUUGGUUAUGUGUGCCCAAGCAUUGAGGCAGUCAAAGUAGGCAAAUCCGCUUUGAUAAUGCUGGGAUGUGAUGGGGAGCGAAAUUUAGUAGCGAAGUAGCUGAUUUCACACUGUCAAGAAAAGUCUCUAUCGAGGUUAAAGGUACCCGUACCGCAAACCGACACAGGUGGGUGAGGAGAGUAUCCUAAGGCCAGCGAGAGAACUGUUGUUAAGGAACUCGGCAAAAUGACCCCGUAACUUAGGGAUAAGGGGUGCCACCAUCAGGUGGCCGCAGAGAAUAGGCCCAAGCGACUGUUUACCAAAAACAUAGGUUUCUGCUAAGUCGCAAGACGAUGUAUAGGAGCUGACGCCUGCCCGGUGCUGGAAGGUUAAGGGGAUCUGUUAGAGCAAUCGAAGCAGUGAACUUAAGCCCCAGUAAACGGCGGCCGUAACUAUAACGGUCCUAAGGUAGCGAAAUUCCUUGUCGGGUAAGUUCCGACCCGCACGAAAGGCGUAACGAUUUGGGCACUGUCUCAACAACAGACUCGGUGAAAUUGUAAUUCCGGUGAAGAUGCCGGAUACCUGCGACAGGACGGAAAGACCCCAUGGAGCUUUACUGUAGCUUGACAUUGGGUCUUGGUACUACAUGUACAGGAUAGGUGGGAGGCUUUGAAACCAGGACGCCAGUUUUGGCGGAGCCAUCCUUGGGAUACCACCCUUGUAGUACUGGGACUCUAACCAUAGGCCAUGAAUCUGGUCUUGGGACACUGUCAGGUGGGCAGUUUGACUGGGGCGGUCGCCUCCCAAAAGGUAACGGAGGCGCUCAAAGGUUCUCUCAGUACGGUCGGAAAUCGUACGUAGAGUGUAAAGGCAAAAGAGAGCUUGAUUGCAAGACAUACAGGUCGAGCAAGGAUGAAAAUCGGACUUAGUGAUCCGGUGGUUCUGCGUGGAAGGGCCAUCGCUCAACGGAUAAAAGCUACCCUGGGGAUAACAGGCUUAUCUCCCCCAAGAGUCCACAUCGACGGGGAGGUUUGGCACCUCGAUGUCGGCUCAUCACAUCCUGGGGCUGUAGUAGGUCCCAAGGGUUGGGCUGUUCGCCCAUUAAAGUGGUACGCGAGCUGGGUUCAGAACGUCGUGAGACAGUUCGGUCCCUAUCCGUCGCAGGCGUAGGAAAUUUGAGAAGACCUGUCCUUAGUACGAGAGGACCGGGAUGGACGUACCUCUGGUGUACCAGUUGUCCUGCCAAGGGCAUGGCUGGGUAGCUAUGUACGGAAUGGAUAAGCGCUGAAAGCAUCUAAGCGCGAAGCCAACUUCAAGAUAAGAUUUCCCACCGCAAGGGUAAGACCCCAGAAAGACUAUCUGGUUGAUAGGUCGAAGGUGUAAGUGCAGCAAUGUAUUUAGCUUAUCGAUACUAAUAGGUCGAGGACUUGACCAAU